rnacentral:rRNA from 1 species
AUUGAACGCUGGCGGCAGGCCUAACACAUGCAAGUCGAACGGUAGCACAGAGAGCUUGCUCUCGGGUGACGAGUGGCGGACGGGUGAGUAAUGUCUGGGAAACUGCCCGAUGGAGGGGGAUAGCUACUGGAAACGGUAGCUAAUACCGCAUAACGUCGCAAGACCAAAGUGGGGGACCUUCGGGCCUCACACCAUCGGAUGUGCCCAGAUGGGAUUAGCUAGUAGGUGGGGUAAUGGCUCACCUAGGCGACGAUCCCUAGCUGGUCUGAGAGGAUGACCAGCCACACUGGAACUGAGACACGGUUCAGACUCCUACGGGAGGCGGCAGUGGGGAAUAUUGCACAAUGGGCGCAAGCCUGAUGCAGCCAUGCCGCGUGUAUGAAGAAGGCCUUCGGGUUGUAAAGUACUUUCAGCGGGGAGGAAGGCGGUGAAGUUAAUAACUUCACCGAUUGACGUUACCCGCAGAAGAAGCACCGGCUAACCCUGUGCCAGCAGCCGCCGUAA